ACGGGAGGCAGCAGUGGGGAAUAUUGGGCAAUGGGGGAAACCCUGACCCAGCAACGCCGCGUGAAGGAAGAAGGCCUUCGGGUUGUAAACUUCUUUUGCCAGGGACGAACACAAUGACGGUACCUGGAGAAAAAGCAACGGCUAACUACGUGCCAGCAGCCGCGGUAAUACGUAGGUUGCAAGCGUUGUCCGGAUUUACUGGGUGUAAAGGGCGUGUAGGCGGAGCUGCAAGUCAGAUGUGAAAUCCCGGGGCUCAACCCCGGAACUGCAUUUGAAACUGCUGAUCUUGAGUAUCGGAGAGGCAAUCGGAAUUCCUAGUGUAGCGGUGAAAUGCGUAGAUAUUAGGAGGAACACCAGUGGCGAAGGCGGAUUGCUGGACGACAACUGACGGUGAGGCGCGAGAGCGUGGGGAGCAAACAGGAUUAGAUACCCUGGUA
rnacentral:rRNA from 1 species